rnacentral:rRNA from 1 species
UACAGAGGUCUCAAGCGUUGUUCGGAUUCAUUGGGCGUAAAGGGUGCGUAGGCGGCGCGGUAAGUCGGGUGUGAAAUCUUGGAGCUUAACUCCGAAACUGCAUUCGAUACUGCCGUGACUCGAGUCCGGUAGGGGAGUGUGGAAUUCCCGGUGUAGCGGUGGAAAUGCGCAGAUAUCAGGAGGAACACCAAUGGCGAAGGCAGCUCGCUGGGACGGUACUGACGCUGAGGCGCGAAAGCGUGGGGGAGCAAAACAGG